rnacentral:rRNA from 1 species
CCUGAAGCAGCAACGCCGCGUGUGUGAUGAAGGCCUUCGGGUCGUAAAGCACUUUUCUGGGAGAUGAGAAAGGACAGUAUCCCAGGAAUAAGUCUCGGCUAACUACGUGCCAGCAGCCGCGGUAAAACGUAGGAGGCAAGCGUUAUCCGGAUUCACUGGGCGUAAAGCGCGUGCAGGUGGCGCGGUAAGUUGGGCGUGAAAUCUCCCGGCUCAACUGGGAGAGGUCGUCCAAUACUACCGUGCUUGAGAGCAGAAGAGGAAGAUGGAAUUCCCGGUGUAGUGGUGAAAUGCGUAGAUAUCGGGAGGAACACCAGUGGCGAAGGCGAUCUUCUGGUCUGUUUCUGACACUCAGACGCGACAGCUAGGGUAGUAAACGGGAUUAGAGACCCCGGUAAUCCUAGCCGUAAACGAUGUGAACUUGGCGUUGGUGGGUUAAACUCCAUCAGUGCCGUAGCAAACGCGAUAAGUUCACCGCCUGGGGGACUACGGCCGCAAGGUUAA